GGCUCUGGCGAGCCAGCGCAGGCCCCAGGCUUCCCCCAGCCCCGGAAUGGUCUGCCCUGUAGGAAACGCACACGCUUCACUAUUGUCUCAUCAGCGCAAAGUUCUGCCACACUGCAGAGAAAGUCUGGAGGCUCGUGAUGACUCAGACUCGGAUAAUCCUUCCCCUAAUAGCACUGAAUCACGACUCGGGCGGCUAGUGGUCGCCCCUUCUUCCCCAAGGUCUCAGGCUGCUACAGCUCCAGUUCCUGGAGGCUGUUUACGCGCGCACACACACAAACACGCACGCAUCCAUCCAUACGUGCAGACGUGCUCAGGAUGUAGGUCCAGCCGGCUCAGGCACCUGGGCACGGAGCCUCGAGAGCGGAUCUAAACGCGGAGACCCUCCUGGUAGUCCCUGAGGCGUGCGUGUUCACUGAACUUCCUAGGAAUGUUUUGGGGAGUUAGGAUGGAGAGUCCCAAUACCCUAGUCCUGAACACAGAACAGAGAAAAGACUGAACUACUCUACGAAGUGGAGUUUGAACUCGAUUGUCAACGCGGAGGAGGGGGACAGAAAGGGAGGAAGGCUGCGAGGAAGGAUCCGCGAAUCAUAAAAUAUCUUUUCUUCUCCUGGGGUUUCAAACUCUGAGAAUGGUUUGUAUUGACAAUAUGGAGGAAGAAAAAACGAGAAUAUGGAGGAAGAGAAGAAUAGCACAUGUGCUUGGGAGUAAGAAGCCAGCUGAGAGGACCUGAGGCAGAAGAAGAACAUGGGAGAAAGAAAGUGCUCAGAAAGCCACUCCUGCUGAGCUUAGAGCAGAUGCCUUCCUUGGACUUCAGCAAAUUUCCCUUAUCAUUCUCACCACUUGAUUCUGGGAUUUCAGUUUCUUUUUGUUGAAAGCAACCUAAAUGUGUCUUGAAAUGGCUGAUUGCUUUGCAGUCUCCCUUACCAACCUGACUGCAGUGAGUGGUGGAGACUGCAGAUGGAGAAAGCGGCAUCCAGUGGGGACAGAGCUGAAGUCAGAUCAUGAAAGGCCAUAAUGGCUACCGAAACAAGAUGGGCUGGGAAAGUUUUAAACAGGAGAAUGACAAGAUCAGAUAUGUUUUGAAAGAUGGCUCUGGCUUCAAGAAAGAGAGGGGUUUGGUGGCAGAGAAAUGAAUCAAGGGGUAAAGAAUUGUUGAAUCUCAAGAUAGAAAUCCUGAGGUGUUGCACUGGUAGGCAGGGAAAGAGAUUCCUCUAGAGAGUCUAAGGAGGCUCAAAGGAAUGCAGACAAGAGCUCUUUGGAGGCCAGGAGAGAAGUCUGUUGGGAGAAGGAAGAUGUGGCCAUACGUGGCAAAUGCUGCAGAGAGGGCCUGGUCUGUGGACCAUAGAGCUGCCAUCAUAUUCACCAAGAAGAUGUCACAGGACAGCAUCAGAGGAAGAACUGAGGCCGCCAGAUUGCCAUGAUGUAGAAAGAGGCUGGCAGCCAGAUAGGCCUCUCUUAGGCUCACACUUAGGAAGGUUCGGGGGCAAAGGUAGAGGUCUUCCUGUUGGCGCUGGUUGUCCAGAGAUGAGGGGAGGUGUGAGCGUGUUCAAAACUGCAGCAAAGGUUUGGGAAGAGGCGAAGAUGACAAGGUAUUUUUGGAGAAUGAAGAUGACACCAAAAGUGUUUCUAAGACCUCUGGGAUGCCACACUCUCUGCUCCUCCUUGGGGGAGCCACUUGACCAUGCUGUGGUCUGUGUCUUCUAAAAUUUGCAUGUUGAAAUAAUUGACAAUAUGAUGGUAUCAAGAGGCAGGGAGGGCUGUAGGAGAUGAUUAAGUGAUAAAGAUGGAGUCUCAAGGGUGGAAUUAGGAAGCGGAUUGCUCUGUUCUCUUCUGCCACGUGAGGACACAGCAUUCUUCCCCUUCUGCCAUGUGAGGACUCAGCUAGAAAUCCCGUGCUAGACACUAAAUGCCAGUAUCUUCACCUUGCACACCCCUGCCCCCAGAACUGAGAGAAAUAGAUGUCUGUUGUCUAGAAAUUACUCAGUCUGUGGUGUUUUGUUAGCACAAGCAGACUGAGACAGCCUACAACCUACCAAUGUGUCUCUCCUCCAGGUACUGGAAGCAGAGCAGCUGCAGGGAGCAGGAGCUGUGAGUGUAAGCCAGGCCCCCUGGUGUGAGCAGGCGCCAGGUCUUGAUUGAAAGGCUUGUGCACAAGCAUGCUGGAGCCCAGCUGGCCUGCGUGGCGGUGGCAGGGACUUGUUUAGCCAUCACCCCUGUAUCCUUUCUGGCCCCAGAACUAUCCUGGGUACAUUUCUCCGUGUUAGAUCCCAGCUGAUAUCUCCUGCCCCCAAAAUGAAAAUCCCUUGAUAUAUACAGUGGGAGAUCUAUGGUUUCCUGUCACCAAUUUUGAUUGACCAGCCUCAAGGCCUGGAAUUCUUCUUCUAAGAAAAUCGGAAAUAAAUUUUCUAAAGAAAAUUGGAAAUAAAAAUAUACUGUAUUUUAAAAAAGAAAAGAGAUAGAUGAAGCAGAGGUAACUAGAAAAGAGGCCCCAAAGCCUAGUCACCUCUUAAAGGCCCUAUCUCUGAAAACUGUCUUGUCGGUAGCACUUGAUUUUGGAGGGAGUCCAUGCAAAUGUAGCCAGUAUAUGUAAAGAGCUCCCACAACUCAGUGAUUUAACACAAGUAACCAAAUUAAAAAAGAAGCAAAAGUGGACCAGGGAUUUAGCUCAGUGGUGCCGCCGCCUGCCUCGCAAGUGCAAGGUCCCGAGUUCGAUCCCUGGUACCAAAAAAAAACAAAAACAAGAUAAGCAAAUGGCCAGUAAGCACCUCAGCCAUUAGGGAAACACAAACCCACAAUGAGAUACCACUUUAUACCCACUAGUAUGGCAGAGUCAAAAAAAAUAACAAAUGUUGGCAAGGAUGUGUUGAAACUCCUACACCACUAGUGGGGCCGGAACAUGGUACAGCUGCUUUGGGAAGGAGUCAGGCAGAUCCUCAAAACCUUAAACACAGAGGUACCAGGGCUGGGGAUUUAGCUCAGUGGUUCCACCACCUGCCUUGCAAGGUCCUGAGUUUGAUCCCCGGUACCAAGAAAAAAAAAAAACUACAGAGGCACCACAUGAGCUAGCAGUUCCACUCCUAGGCAUGUUCCCAGCCAAAAUGAAAGCAUGUGUGCAUGCAAAACUUCUUCAUAUGAACUCAGAAGUGAAAACUAUAAAAUGUCCAUCUACUGAUAAAGAAACUUGCAUGCAAGUUUACAUGUAUGCAAUGGAACACUAUUCAGUAAUAAAUAGGAAUGAAGAAUUAACACAUGCUACAAUAUAGGUGAAGCUCUGAAAACAAUAUGUGAAGUAAAAGAAGUCAGACACAAAAGAACAGAUAUUGUAUGAUUCCUUUAAUUUGAAAUGUCCAGAAUAGGCCAAUCUAUAGAGAUUGAAAGUAGAUUAGUGGUUGCCUGGGGUCGUUGAAUUUGGCAGGAGAUGAAGGGGUGGAAUAAUAUAGGGGGGUGGAAAUGACCACUAACAGAAACAGGAUUUCUUUUGGGGUGAUGAAAAUGUUUUGGCACUAGAUACAGGUUGUGGUUACACAAAACUGUGUACAUGCUAAAAGCCACUGGACUGUACAGUUUAAAUGAGUGAGUUGUAU
ensembl:lncRNA